CCUACGGGUGGCUGCAGUGGGGAAUAUUGGACAAUGGGCGAAAGCCUGAUCCAGCCAUGCCGCGUGUGUGAAGAAGGCCUUCGGGUUGUAAAGCACUUUCAGUGGGGAAGAAAGCCUUGGGGCUAAUACCCUCGAGGAAGGACAUCACCCACAGAAGAAGCACCGGCUAACUCCGUGCCAGCAGCCGCGGUAAUACGGAGGGUGCGAGCGUUAAUCGGAAUUACUGGGCGUAAAGCGCGCGUAGGCGGUCUGAUAAGCCGGUUGUGAAAGCCCCGGGCUCAACCUGGGAACGGCAUCCGGAACUGGCAGGCGAGAGUGCAGGAGAGGAAGGUAGAAUUCCCGGUGUAGCAGUGAAAUGCGUAGAGAUCGGGAGGAAUACCAGUGGCGAAGGCGGCCUUCUGGACUGACACUGACGCUGAGGUGCGAAAGCGUGGGUAGCAAACAGGAUUAGAUACCCCAGUAGUC
rnacentral:rRNA from 1 species